GGCCAAGCUGAGACAGAUCUGUUUUUUAAUCUCUGAAUGGAAUAAAUUUUAUUAAACUGUUCCAAGUACUUCUGGCUGUUCAUCAAGUUUUCCUCAGAUUCCCAAGAAUUGUCUGUCUUCAACUUUUCAUUUCUCUUGUGUGUCUAUAAUUAUCAGUUCUGCUUGCGGGAUUUGUCUGUCGCGCGCGUGAUAUGGUUUGAGAAGGGAAACAUGGAAUACAGGAUGAAUUUCUUUAUAUUGCAGUGUGAGUUUCAGUUUGUACACCUGCGUACUGUGGAUAUCAAUUAUUUGAAAG
rnacentral:sRNA from 1 species